rnacentral:rRNA from 1 species
UACGUAGGGGGCUAGCGUUGUCCGGAUUUAUUGGGCGUAAAGAGCUCGUAGGCGGUGUGUCACGUCGUUCGUGAAAACCUGCAGCUUAACUGUGGGCGUGCGGUCGAUACGGGCAUCACUGGAGUUCGGCAGGGGAGACUGGAAUUCCUGGUGUAGCGGUGAAAUGCGCAGAUAUCAGGAGGAAGACCAGUGGCGAAGGCGGGUCUCUGGACAGUUCCUGACGCUGAGGCACGAAGGCCAGGGGAGCAAACGGG